AAUUGCUCAUGGGGCCAUAGUUAUCAGCUGACAGAAGCAUCCACUGGGGUUUAGACCAAUGUCUUUAUUUGAAAAGCCAAGAUGAGUGUGUUUCUCUGCCCUUCAGGCCAUCUUCCUUGGCCCAGCCGGUGAAUCUCCCAGGCAGGAAUAUCUACUGCCCAGCAGAUGGAGGCCCAGUAGAGAAGCCAACGGCAUUUUCACCAGGACUUCAGAAACAAGCCAUGAGUCGGUGGAAUUAGACGAUGACUAACAUCUCCGCCAGACCUAGCACACUAAGGAGAGACCACAGUUGCUGGGAGUGCCU
rnacentral:lncRNA from 1 species